rnacentral:pre_miRNA from 1 species
UGCGGGGCUAGGGCUAACAGCAGGCUCACUGACGGUUUCCCGGAAACCACGCACAUGCUGUUGCCACUAACCUCAACCU